ACUCAAAGGAAUUGACGGGGGCCCGCACAAGCGGUGGAUCAUGUGGUUUAAUUCGAAGCAACGCGAAGAACCUUACCUGGGUUUGACAUCCUUGGACAUCCGUAGAGAUACGGCUUUCGUAGCAAUACGACCAAGUGACAGGUGCUGCAUGGCUGUCGUCAGCUCGUGUGGUGACAUGUUGGGUUAAGUCCCGCAACGAGCGCAACCCUUGUCUUUAGUUGCCAGCAUUCAGUUGGGCACUCUAGAGAGACUGCCGUGGUUAACACGGAGGAAGGUGGGGAUGACGUCAAGUCCUCAUGGCCUUUAUAUCCAGGGCGACACACGUGAUACAAUGGUCGGUACAGAGGGAAGCGAAACCGCGAGGUGGAGCCAAUCUCAAAAAGCCGAUCUCAGUUCGGAUUGGAGUCUGCAACUCGACUCCAUGAAGUUGGAAUCGCUAGUAAUCGCGGAUCAGCACGCCGCGGUGAAUACGUUCCCGGGCCUUGCACACACCGCCCGU
rnacentral:rRNA from 1 species